UUGUUUAUGGGAAAAAUCAGCUUUUUCGUUAGUCAAGUAUUGGGUUUUUCCCAUUAGGUAAAACUACCUGCUUUCCCCGUAAUUAGUAAGGAUGUAUAACAACCUAAGGGCUGUUUCAAGGACCAUCCAUAAACAGAUAACAGAAAUAAUAAACUUAAAAGUUUAGGUUUAUGGUGGGUCCCUAGGGUAAUUGAGGGUGCGCGGUGGCCUCUGAUAAAAUUGACGUUACAUAUACGCAAUGCUGCAAGAUGGUGACCUAGUGGGGUUAAUGUACAUUCGGAAUUAAAUGCUCCUACAUCUUGUAAACGUUUAAUUGCACUACUGAUAUUUUCUUCUGUUGGUGGUUCCAACAUUUUACCUAAAUAGAAUAUUAUAAUGGAUAUUAGAAAGUUAAUUAAUGAUAUAAAACUAAAAAUAUAUUUUUAUUACCUAAAACUUCAUGUACUGGCUGUGCUGAAAAGUGGUAGUUGAACCUGAAACAAUUGUUUAAAUUGAAUAAAUAUUGGUAAACUUUACUAUAAGAUUUAAUGUUUUAAUGAACAAUAAUUAUACAUACUUGUACGAGGUAUAUAAAUGAAUAGAUACUCCAG